GACCACCGGAGAAGAUAAAGACGACCGUCAGCAGUGUCACCAGAAUAACAGAUGAACCAGAUGAGAUGGAUCAGGGCGAGGAGCUUGUUUGCAGUAACAAAGUUAUCAUGUUGGACCCAGAGAUGGAGAUCACACCUGUUCAAAA